UACGUAGGAUGCAAGCGUUGUCCGGAUUUACUGGGCGUAAAGUGCGCGCAGGCGGCACUCUAAGUACGUCGUGAAAUAUCCCGGCUCAACCGGGAGGGUGCGAUGUAGACUAGGGAGCUAGAGGUCGGUAGAGGGGGGUGGAAUUGCUGGUGUAGCGGUGAAAUGCGUAGAGAUCCGGAGGAACACCGAAGGCGAAGGCAGUGUCCUGGCGCGUAACUGACGCUGAGGUGCGAAAGCCAGGGGAGCGAACGGG
rnacentral:rRNA from 1 species